rnacentral:rRNA from 1 species
GAAUAUUGGACAAUGGGGGCAACCCUGAUCCAGCCAUGCCGCGUGUGUGAAGAAGGCCUUUUGGUUGUAAAGCACUUUAAGCAGUGAAGAAGACUCCGUGGUUGAUACCCAUGGACGAUGACAUUAGCUGCAGAAUAAGCACCGGCUAACGCUGUGCCAGCAGCCGCGGUAAUCCAGAGGGGGGAAGCGUUCAUCGGAAUUACUGGGCGUAAAGCGAGCGUAGGUGGCUUGAUAAGUCAGAUGUGAAAUCCCCGGGCUGAACCUGGGAACUGCAUCUGAUACUGUUAGGCUAGAAUAGGUGAGAGGAAGGUAGAAUUCCAGGUGUAGUGGUGAAACGCGUAGAGAUCUGGAGGAAUACCGAUGGCGAAGGCACCCUUCUGGCAUCAUAUUGACACUGAGGUUCGAAAACGUGGGUAGCAAAC